rnacentral:lncRNA from 1 species
GUCUCCGUAGCUCUCUCCACGCCGAGCUUUAUCAUGUCCGACCAGUUGCCCCUCCUGACUGAGUCCAGGCCUCAGGCAUCCUCUGAAGUGGUCUCGGAUAUUGAAAACCGAGCUUAACUCCGAGCCACUGUUCCUUGUUCUUAAGAAGUCAAAGGCAACGCUGCCUCUCAGCUUCUGCAGGAUUGCCUGGAGAAUGGUAAUAAUGAGGACAAUCGUAUUUCUUCAUGGGAUCUUUCUGUGGAGCACAGAAGCUACAAGGAAAAUAUAUCAGAGUUACAGGGAGAGAAGCUCACAUGAUUUAAUUCUAUCAAUCA